rnacentral:lncRNA from 1 species
CAUUAAAAAAAAUAUGUAAGACCAAAAUGUUUAGUAUGAAGCCUUAAGAGAAGGUGGAAUCCUAAGGAUGAAAAUCUAAACUAGUAGGAGGCUAAUUGGGAGGGAUGAAAGUAAGGCAUGGUUGGAUGAAGACAAGAAAUGGAAAACUUCAUUCCUAUUAAUUGAAGGCCAUGUCCAACGGGCUUCAAGGAGGCUGUGUGAGGCCUUAUUAGGGAUUAGGGUUCUUCUUUCGGACAAGAUUUGGAGAUUACAAGCUAGGGUUGUAAAGUUUAGGAUUUGGGAUACUGUUUGUAUAUAAAAAUUAGAAGAUUUGGAGUUAGGGUGAAGAAGUUCCAGCCGUUUGAAAUUAAGGUGUUAAUUUAAGACAUACUGUUACUCUUUUGAGGAU